UAUAGGUAGAUGCUUUAUCAUGAAAAUCUAUCUGCAUCAUGGCUAUUUCCAGGUAACCAAACUGGUCUUGGAUACUUGUUCAGCAAGGCAGAGACUCCAUCAAGCAUAUCUUCUACGUCAUGGCUAGGGUGAUGUAUAGAUAGCUGGUUUUUGAAGAUGUCCCUGGGGUGCAGUUAGUAUACCUGCAGAAUCAGAGUGCACCCAUGUUUUCGCCCUAAUGUGAUUGAAGACGGCGACAGCAACAAGAAGCUACUGUUCCCAACUGUUCAUAUCUGCUUCACAAAUACUUUCUCAUUAGCCAACUCUGUCAAGGACAAAAGUCACUAGUUUUCGGUUCCGUUUUUGGAGGCUUCAGGCGCCCUGUGCUGACAUGGUCCUAAAGAAAUCACGAGAGACAGCAGUGGGAAACCCGUGGUGGUCACAGACCUCAUGACUGACGAGAAGCGAGAGGUUGAAACCCAUGGCAGUGGCCAUCAAUGGACCACCUUUUGGCUUUACCAAGAACCCUGUGAGCUUGAUGAAACAUAGGUACUUUCACGCAAAUGGCUGUUCCCUUUUAUAAAUGUCCAUGCGUUAUAUCAAUCUUUAAGAUAAGUAGUUUCUGGACAAAUGGCUUUGACUUCAUAUUCCUAUCUUCUGAACUAAUCUCAUACGAUUAUAAGUGUACAAAACAAAAGUCCACAUGCUAAUCACUUGCAGCAAUUGCAGAGGUGAAGAUUGUAGAGCAUGAUGAUGUUGGAUGUUGUACUUAUGGUUGUCAGCAAAAGGAAAGAGUUCCUGUUUUAUGGUCAACUGUCCCAAGCUUGCUAUUUUGUUGGUGUCUCAUAUUGACUUGUUCUGAAGUCACGACAUAUGUUCUUAAUUAGUUUUGUUGUAUUAUGGUGCAUGAAACAUUCAGCAAGUCACGCACCAUUGCAGCUGAACUUUCAGAGUCACUAAAGGACAGCAAAAUUAUUGAUCACAAU